rnacentral:rRNA from 1 species
GACGGGGGGGGGCAAGUGUUCUUCGGAAUGACUGGGCGUAAAGGGCACGUAGGCGGUGAAUCGGGUUGAAAAGUGAAAAGUCGCCAAAAAAGUGGCGGAAUGCUCUCGAAACCAAUUCACUUGAGUGAGACAGAGGAGAGUGGAAUUUCGUGUGUAGGGGGUGAAAUCCGUAGAUCUACGAAGGAACGCCAAAAAGCGAAGGCAGCUCUCUGGGUCCCUACUGACGCUGAGACGCGAAAGCGUGGGGAGCGAACAGG